rnacentral:lncRNA from 1 species
UGAUUCAUAUUUCAAGCACUUACGAAUGAUUUGUGAAAUCUUGUUUGCAGGAAGUUGCACACCCGGUGAAGGAAAAAUCGCGAGGGAAAACUGACUUCAAUCCCGAUUGUUAAUGUCGUUGUCAAAAAAGAUGAGAGUCACUACAGUGUUUCUUGUUGCCAUCGUUCUUAUUGCUAUGGAGAAAGUAUUCGAAACAAGAGGACGUGGUGGUGGGAUAUCCAAUGUACCGGAGUUAUGUCUCCAUCUCGGAGCAAGGAGCUGUGAGGGUUACCUAUGAGAGAGAAAGGCUGCUGGAUGACAAAGGAAAUUUGUGUUUGGAUACAUCAGCAGGGCGUCAGACUAUGUAGGAAGGAAUCAAAGACAACUUGGUUGACUUGCGAACCACAGUGAAGUACAAAAAUGGAGAAACGAAAACACUACAUGGAGUCAACAAAACAGUGUCCCUUGAAGACACCAAGGAUCAAGGCUUCGAAGUUUCGCUCGAUAAAACACCUUCAUUGUUACCGGAACAACUUGUAAGCAGGUGGAAAAGACCAUUGAAGGUACGAUGGUCAUCUUGUACGAGACAAAUCCGAACGGCUCAGGCCAACUUAGCAUCGACAAAAAGCUACUAUUUUCUUUAGUUACUUUGUUUUUGUUUAUUAACACGUUUAGUUAUUCUUAGUUAGUGUCCAUGAAACAUCUUUAAGCUUUUUCACUAGCUAGUAAGUGUGGUUGAAAAUGAAAAUAUGCGGCCCACCAUUUUCGCACAAGCUGGUGGUGAGAUAGGACACGAUUUACAUUUAAUUAUUAUAAGUAUAUUCUAGUUGUUUUUGGUGAAAUGUAGUGAUACCAAUGGCAUUUAAUUCACAGUCGGUAAAAAGGUUUUCAUUUUUCAAGCACCAUUUACGUAGGAAUUUAAAAUUUUCCCAAUAGAGACUGUGAAAACACGAUGUGCAGGCGUGACAAAACACAUGCACGAUUUAUAUUCAUGACGUUUAAGUUAUUUUGCAUGACGGAACCUCGAACAGCGAAACAAAGUAAUGCGGUCUACUUCAACAGGAAGCUGCUUAAUUCAAGGUCUUAAAAACCCCUAACAAUAACUUUGUAGAUCUUUAUUUAUGAUCAAAUGAGAAGAUAGGUAAUUGGAUGCUAAGGCCUCUUAUUCGAGUUUCAAAGCCGAUGCACUUUGGUAUAAAUAAUCAUCAUAGUUGUCAUCAUUUUCACCAAUACCAAGCUAAUAACAAUGAUGUUCCCUUAUCUUGCUUUCUCUUGCGAUUUAGGAACUAUUGGAGGUUUUGGGUAUUUUGUGUGCAAAGUUAGAUUCAUUCUUCCUUUUUGACCAUUUACUACCAACUGUUCAAAAUAUUAGUGACGAGAAACUUGAAACCUGCUUUAAUUUAAGUUAUUGGAAAAAAUACAAAUAUUGCUUCGAGUCAAGUUUCAUUUCAAUAUGAAAAUUAUCAUACUUUUUGCGUCUUUACUGCUCGUAGACUAAAUCACUGUCAGUCUUGCAUUUUAAAGGGCUUUGACUGUAAGCUCCUUCCAAUGAGUAAUGUAGGAAAAGAGCCCAGGUAUACGUAAAAGGUGAACAAAUGAAAAUAUGCUGCAGCAUUAUGUGAGUGAGCAAACAUUGUUAUCUCUGGGACUAUGAUAUUGUUAAGCAUAAGCAGCGGGGAUACGCAAUUUGACAGUAAAUACAGUCUUUGUAUGUAAAGACAGUUCAUUUAUUACGCUCGUUAACUAACGCAAGCAAAUUAAAAAGUACGCUAUUGAUCUUCAA